AGUGAUGCAUGGGGUUCUUGUGACGAAAGAGUAGGACCAAGCACUCGGUUUUGUUGGAGAUCGUACAACUGGCCUCAGUCCAUAUAUCCAACCUAUCUAGAUUCUUCUGUAGGACCUUUAUACCCUAAGACUGAUCAACACUUCUGCUCAAGUUGGUGUCCUGUGCAAGCUCACUUAGGGUGCAAACAUCAAUACCUCUAUGAGGACCAAAGCAAAGCGUGAUAUUUAGCUUGUCUGUUUCCUCUUUCUACCUUCAUACAUCAUCAAGAAGGAUUU
rnacentral:lncRNA from 1 species